UUACUUAAAUUUUCGGAAAUAUUUCAAAAUGGAGGAGCCUUGGGGGUUCGCAGAACCACUAGUUUAGUUUUUAGGGUUUCGUUCCGUUCCAAAGGGUAAAACGGGACUCAUUACUAAGACUCUGCUGUCCGUCGGUCUGUCUGUCUGUCACCAGGCUGUAGCUCAUGAACCGUGAUAGCUAGACAGUUGACAUUUUCACAGAUGAUGUUGCCGCUAUAACAAAAAAUACUAAAGAGUACGGAACCCUCGGUGGGCAAACCCGACUCGCACUUGCCCGGUUUUUACUUUGUUAUUACUUAGUUGUGGGAACAUAGUCAAUGGUAUACAUAAUUUAUGUAAAAAAUUUAAAUACAUAGAAAACACCCACAACUCUGGAAGAAAUAUUCAGUGCUCACGCACACACACAUAAAUAAAUGCCCUGACCAGGAUUUGAAUCCGGGACCACCGGUUCCAUUGGCAAGGUCACUCAUUACCCACUAGACCAGUAUCAAAUGAAGCAUAAAUAAGAUUUUGGCAAAAAUUAAAUUUUUGUGUCCGUGCCUCUGAUAACUGCCGCACCACAAGGUCCACUUCAACAUCCUCAAAGCUACCAAUCCCGCAGCUACCAAAUUCAACACUACCAACAAUCACCACAGGAGUCUCAACAGAGUCAACACAGCUUUGACCCUCUGUCCAGCAUAGGGUCAUUAUUCAAGAUGCCUAUCGAAAUGAUUGAAAAAAUUGUACCUUAAAAUUUGAUGUAAUUUAAGUUGUUAUAUAUUAAAUGCGCCUUA